UGUUAAGUUAGUGGCGGACGGGUGAGUAACGCGUGGGUAACCUGCCGUAUACCGGGGGAGUAACACCUGGAAACAGGUGCUAAUACCGCAUAAGCGCACGGGACCGCAUGGUCCAGUGUGAAAAACCGAGGUGGUAUGCGAUGGACCCGCGUCUGAUUAGCCAGUUGGCAGGGUAACGGCCUACCAAAGCGACGAUCAGUAGCCGGCCUGAGAGGGUGGACGGCCACAUUGGGACUGAGACACGGCCCAAACUCCUACGGAAGGCAGCAG
rnacentral:rRNA from 1 species